UCUAUGAAUACAACUACUGUUUCCUGCCACUAGUUUUUGUUGUUGGUUAAUUCUGAGAGCCAACAAGGUGAUGCCACGUGUCCGGAAUGAUUAAAAGCAUUAGGGAGUUCUCAAAAGAUAGGGAAGACGCGUGCCGCUCACUCCUAAGUCCUAAAGCUGUAUUAGGAUACAAAAAUAUCUAAGUUGUAAAGUCCAUCACGAACACAAUGAGUUGCAGUCUCCGUAUGUAACAGCUCAGUGAAAACUGGCCUUGUAUCAGCUGAGUUCCAAUAGCUUUUCCUCUCUCCUGCAACGCGUGGAUGCUCCCCAUUUGCUAUGUUACAUACAGAGUCUGUAACAUAGCAAGCUCCACAAAAUGAUAGUGAGACCACAAAACCAACUUGGGGAUAGAGUAAGUUCAAGAGUUCAUCUCUCUAUCUCGAAGGUGUCCCUAAAUGGUCUUCAACUAUUGAUAUCACGGAGCCCCCAUUAUAUUUUCGACAACUCAUCAAGGAAUUAAUGGAUUCUAUCAACAUUAAUUCAACCUCUUUAACAAAUAAAGAUCGAACGGUUGCUCCAACCAUUCUCUCCAGGCCUACGGAAGCCACCUCGAAAAGCACGCGCAUCCACUUAAGACAAGGGAGAAAUGACUCCAUUAUUUGAAUAUAAACCAAGAGUACUUAAUGCCCCUGCCUGAGGACGGGACAAGCCAGUAAGCUCCAUUCCACAUGUCCAUGUCCACCGAGACCACGAGAUGCCUUUAGGGACACUUCAUAUAAAAGAUUUAUGUCCAAGAGCAGGGCAUCUAUCUUCUUCUCUCAACGAUCCACUUGACCACGGCCACCGCAUUCUAAUCACCCGUCUUGCUUGCAAGAUAGAACACCACAUGCAUCCUCAACAACCAUAAUACGUUCCUCACCUCUCAUAAUGCCUUGAAGAUCAACAUUUUAGACCUUUCUAACUAUCUAAAGACAAUCCUUUAAUGUUUUAGACAUUGUAUCAAGAAAGAAUUAGGCUAAAACACUUGCCAGUAACAUCUACAUUAUUAAUUUUAUGUGAACCCUUUUGUGGAUCGAGUACAUUAAUUGCAGUGUUAUAUAUGAAAAGGCAACCAAAAUAUGUUCUUUUCAAGCACGUCGUCCAUAUUAAUUGCCACACGCUUAGCUCACAUGUGUAAAAGUUCAGUGUACACGUCAAUUAAUGAAACAAAUUAAGUUACAUAUUUUGGCAACCAGGUUAGUGAAUACGAUAAUAAUCAUUUAAUUAUUCAUUUUAUAGUCAGCUGCUCAGCUUAUAAGCCCGCCACUUGAUGUUUAAUUAUUAUCGAUGAUCAAUUUUCUUAUAAUCUUUCUUGUUAUUCAUUUUACAAUAUAUAAAAAGGCUGGUAGGUUGCGUGCCUGCAGCCUGCGUAUACAUGAAUAAGCAAUCAUCAAGAAAGAAAAAAUAAAUGAUGGUCAAAUUUAGUAUGCACUUUGAUAAAUGAACAUUAGUAACUAAGAAAUUAUAUAUUUCUCCUUGUACCGCUCCAAUAAUAUACUUAUUAGAGUGCAUUUUGUACAUUAUAUUGUAUUAUUUGAUACACA
rnacentral:lncRNA from 1 species